UACGUAGGGUGCAAGCGUUAAUCGGAAUUACUGGGCGUAAAGCGUGCGCAGGCGGUUGUGUAAGACAGAUGUGAAAUCCCCGGGCUCAACCUGGGAACUGCAUUUGUGACUGCACGGCUCGAGUGCGGCAGAGGGGGAUGGAAUUCCGCGUGUAGCAGUGAAAUGCGUAGAGAUGCGGAGGAACACCGAUGGCGAAGGCAGCCCCCUGGGCUAGCACUGACGCUCAGGCACGAAAGCGUGGGGAGCAAACAGG
rnacentral:rRNA from 1 species